rnacentral:rRNA from 1 species
UGCCCUUGACUCUGGGAUAAGCCUGGGAAACUGGGUCUAAUACCGGAUAUGACUUCUCAUCGCAUGGUGGGGGGUGGAAAGCUUUUGUGGUUUUGGAUGGACUCGCGGCCUAUCAGCUUGUUGGUGGGGUAAUGGCCUACCAAGGCGACGACGGGUAGCCGGCCUGAGAGGGUGACCGGCCACACUGGGACUGAGACACGGCCCAGACUCCUACGGGAGGCAGCAGUGGGGAAUAUUGCACAAUGGGCGCAAGCCUGAUGCAGCGACGCCGCGUGAGGGAUGACGGCCUUCGGGUUGUAAACCUCUUUCAGUAGGGAAGAAGCCCUCUUUUGGGGGUGACGGUACUUGCAGAAGAAGCGCCGGCUAACUACGUGCCAGCAGCCGCGGUAAUACGUAGGGCGCAAGCGUUAUCCGGAAUUAUUGGGCGUAAAGAGCUCGUAGGCGGUUUGUCGCGUCUGCUGUGAAAGACCGGGGCUCAACUCCGGUUCUGCAGUGGGUACG